rfam:Gossypium hirsutum cultivar TM-1 chromosome 5, whole genome shotgun sequence
UAUUAAAAUUUUUAUUCAUUUCUAUUGUUAAAAAUUAGCGUGAUUGUUGGAAUAACCAAACAGUUUCACAUGGUGUGCUACGUGUACCUCAUGCUAGCAUACAAGAAUUAGUUUUUAAUUGUAGAAAUGAAUAGAAUUUUUAACA